UGUAGGAGCUGGCUUGCCUGCGAUGCAGACACCUCGGUGUAUGUCCCAGGCACCGAGUCGAUGCUAUCGCAGGCAAGCCAGCUCCCACA
rnacentral:antisense_RNA from 1 species